rnacentral:lncRNA from 1 species
GGGAGUACUCUCUGAGUUGCAGCACCAAAGCAAAGCCCAUUACAUUUUUAACAGCCCCCAAAAGCUAUAGCAAUCUCACUUGAUCCUAGUCUAGCCAUAAAAAUAUAUUUAUUUCCUUCAAAGUAUUUCCCAUGCCCCUGGUUCCAUUACCUGAUUCUUUAUUAUUCUGUAUUUCGAUUACUUUUGUUGUGGACUCCAGUUUGAAACUGUCGUUUUGCUCAUUUUCUCUUUCAGCUUUUUGGGACACCUACCUUCCUAUGGCCAUGCCCUGCAGGACUUUGUGACCUUGCAAUGAUGGAUGCAGAGAGUUGAUUUAGAGCAUUCUGUGAACCCACUUCUGAACCCAAAACAAGGCCCCAGCUACAGCGUACUUGACAAUUGCCCAGUUUUGCUUCCCAUGCUGUUACAUUUGAGACUUGGCCUUUUGAGAACCAGUGGAGCACUGCUACCUCGCCAGCUCAUCGUUCCUGAUUGCAUAAGUGAUGGCAAACCACUCGCCUGGUGCUGGCUUGGAGGCAAAGAUACAUCAAGUGAGUAUGUGGGGUCAUUGUUAAACAGACACAAACCUCACCAAAAGCACAUUUAUUUC